rnacentral:lncRNA from 1 species
UGGUUUGAACUACUAAGUGUAUUUAUUUAAUUUUCAAUUCAUCAUUUCACUAAUCAUUGUUCUCCUCUUUUGUCGCAGGUGAGUUUUUACAUCGAUGUAUCAUCACCUCAAUUUGUGGACACGGUUAUUCAUAGAUUCAUGAAAUUGUAUACUGUUACAGAUUUCGAAUUGAAACCUUACGGGCUGAUUCUUGACAUGAAUAGACAGAGCGAUAGACAAAGAAGAGAAAUGGAAAUGGAGCGAUCAUAUUGGUCGAAACAGGUAGUUGAUAUAGAGUAAAGGAAAAAUGAUCGACUAACUACAGGGCUUCUCGUGGGUUUCCGUUAUUUACCUCCUUGGUCUACUCUAAGAAAAAAAGUUCGAUCCGGAUAAUUGUCCUAGAUCGGCACAAAGGUGAAUAAAUCACCGUACCUUAUUUUCUAGGGAAACCUAGAGUCCCUUUACACACAGAGUUACGACAUCUCGAUUAUCAGCUGGCUAGCAGCCGGCCUUGGCUGGCCAUGGAGGCACAAACGAGUGCACUUAAACGAACGAUAUUGAGAGAUAAGGAUAAGGAAUCCUCCGAUGUCUGUCAUCCAAAAACAACAACAUCAACAAAACUGAUCAAAACCUUAAAAUUAGAUUGAUUAGUGAAUAAUUUCUUAAUCUAUUUUCAUAUUGAUGCGAUUAAUGUAACAAUUCAUUCUUGAUAAACCACAAUUUAGUUAUAUUUUCAUUACUUUUGUUCACAUUCGAGGUACCACCAUCUUGGUGCACUCGUUUGUGACUCCAUGAGCGAGAACCAAUCAGAAUUGGAUUUUUUUUAGGCCACUUUCAGCCCAACCUGGCCCUAACCUAGCCCGACCACAAGUGAGAUGUCGUAACUCUGUGUAUAAAGGGACUCUAGGGAAACCUAGAGUAAGCCUUCCGACGAAAAUUCAAAAGCCUAUCAUUUGACCCAACUAGUUCGGUGAAUAUGUUGCUACCGUGGAUUGAGAUCCUUUUUUGUGGAUUGUAACAUUUGUAAUCAAUUUGUCAAGUUUUUCGGAAUUAUUUAUAGUCAUUUCUUAAUCACAUGCUCCUUCCGCCCUGCUGAAACAACAAGACCCCGUAUAUAUUAGUUUGUAAUGUUACAAACUUCCGAACAUAUCGUUUUCUUUUACAAGAUAACUGCGAUCAUCGUUAUCGCAAAUACUUUUGUAUGAUUUUUCUUUGCCCUCUCACGAUAACCGUCUAAAAAAAUUCGUUGACAAAAUUCCGGUGACGCACCCUCUUUAUAUCGGCUGACCUACCUUCAAAAGAAGGGUGGAGCGAACAUUCUGAAACACCAAAGUCGAGAUACGUUCAUCGCAACAUUGCACCGUCAACAUAAAUGGUUUAUAUUGUGAGGAAGGUGGAAUGUAAGCCAAGCUAUGCAAAAACAAGCCAUAAUUGGACUACAUUUUGCAAUUUGGAACUAUAAAUUCUAGCCCGGUUUAAAAACAACGUAUGUGUCAUUAGUUUCCCUAUGCAUGUAAGUGUUUUUCCAGAAAAGGCAGAAUUUAUAGUUCCAAAAUGCAGUCCAAUUUUGCGCCCGGCUUGGCACGCGUGGAUUGCAUGUUUUGCCAAUCGUGUUAGAGAUUAUCUGUAAUUAAAUCCGAAUGAUUUGAUGUUCCACCGCAAUCAAAGGGGGAUUAAUUUCUUUUUGGCCUCACCCAGAGACUGAAACAAUUCCUAAAACUGUUGCUGCAUAAUAAGCAUCCCUGGCAGAUUUAUGCUGUAAAUCAUGGAUUCGGCCAGGGAUCAGUAGAAACUCUGGAAAGUGGAAAAAGAGACGCAAGUCGUGCGCGUCCUCCCCUCAAAAAGAGGAGGUUUGAAAUUUUGUCCUUUGGGAGUCGUUGCAGUUGAUAAUUUUCAGGUGUGACUGAAGUAAAUGCAUUUGUAUCCAAUUUAAUGAUUUGAUGGAGC